GACGAACGCUGGCGGCGUGCUUAGCACAUGCAAGUCGAACGGAAAGGCCCUGCUUUUGUGGGGUGCUCGAGUGGCGAACGGGUGAGUAACACGUGAGUAACCUGCCCUUGACUUUGGGAUAACUUCAGGAAACUGGGGCUAAUACCGGAUAGGAGCUCCUGCUGCAUGGUGGGGGUUGGAAAGUUUCGGCGGUUGGGGAUGGACUCGCGGCUUAUCAGCUUGUUGGUGGGGUAGUGGCUUACCAAGGCUUUGACGGGUAGCCGGCCUGAGAGGGUGACCGGCCACAUUGGGACUGAGAUACGGCCCGGACUCCUACGGGAGGCAGCAGUGGGGAAUAUUGCACAAUGGGCGGAAGCCUGAUGCAGCAACGCCGCGUGCGGGAUGACGGCCUUCGGGUUGUAAACCGCUUUCGCCUGUGACGAAGCGUGAGUGACGGUAAUGGGUAAAGAAGCACCGGCUAACUACGUG
rnacentral:rRNA from 1 species